rnacentral:rRNA from 1 species
UGCCAGCCGCCGCGGUAAUACGUAUGGGGCAAGCGUUGUUCGGAUUUAUUGGGCGUAAAGGGCACGCAGGCGGAUUGCUAAGUUGGAUGUAUAAUCGUUAGGCUCAACCUAAUUUCUGCAUCCAAUACUGGUAGUCUAGAGUCUCGGAGGGGAAAGCGGAAUUCUCGGUGUAGCGGUGGAAUGCGUAGAUAUCGAGAGGAACACCGAUGGCGAAGGCAGCUUUCUGGACGAUGACUGACGCUCGGGUGCGAAAGCGUGGGGAGCAAACAGGAUUAGAUA